AUUGAACGCUGGCGGCAGGCCUAACACAUGCAAGUCGAGCGGUAGAGAGGUGCUUGCACCUCUUGAGAGCGGCGGACGGGUGAGUAAUGCCUAGGAAUCUGCCUGGUAGUGGGGGAUAACGUUCGGAAACGGACGCUAAUACCGCAUACGUCCUACGGGAGAAAGCAGGGGACCUUCGGGCCUUGCGCUAUCAGAUGAGCCUAGGUCGGAUUAGCUAGAUGGUGAGGUAAUGGCUCACCAAGGCGACGAUCCGUAACUGGUCUGAGAGGAUGAUCAGUCACACUGGAACGGAGACACGGUCCAGACUCCUAAGGGAGGCAGCAGUGGGGAAUAUUGGACAAUGGGCGAAAGCUUGAUCCAGCCAUGCCGCGUGUGUGAAGAAGGUCUUCGGAUUGUAAAGCACUUUAAGUUGGGAGGAAGGGUACUUACCUAAUACGUGAGUAUUUUGACGUUACCGACAGAAUAAGCACCGGCUAACUCUGUGCCAGCAGCCGCAGUAAAAC
rnacentral:rRNA from 1 species